CACAACGUUAAUACGAUAAAUGAGUCUGC
rnacentral:sRNA from 1 species